GGCCCGAAGAGUUUGAUCAUGGCUCAGAUUGAACGCUGGCGGUAUGCUUAACACAUGCAAGUCGAACGGAAACGAUGGUAGCUUGCUAUCAGGCGUCAAGUGGCGGACGGGUGAGUAACGCGUAGGAAUCUGCCCAGUAGUGGGGGACAACCAGGGGAAACCCUGGCUAAUACCGCAUACACUCUACGGAGAAAAGGAGGCCUCUUCUUGAAAGCUUUCGCUAUUGGAUGAGCCUGCGUGAGAUUAGCUAGUUGGUGAGGUAAAGGCUCACCAAGGCAACGAUCCGUAGCUGGGCUGAGAGGAUGAUCAGCCACACUGGGACUGAGACAUGGCCCAGACUCCUACGGGAGGCAGCAGUGGGGAAUAUUGGACAAUGGGCGCAAGCCUGAUCCAGCCAUACCGCGUGUGUGAAGAAGGCUCUAGGGUUGUAAAGCACUUUAAGUUGGGAGGAAAGGGUGAUGGUUAAUACCCGUUAUCUGUGACGUUACCAACAGAAUAAGCACCGGUUAACUCCGUGCUAGCAGUUGUGGUAAUACGGAGGGUGCAAGCGUUAAUCGGAAUUACUGGGCGUAAAGCGCGCGUAGGUGGUUGUGUAAGUGGAAUGUGAAAGCCCUGGGUUUAACCUGGGAACUGCAUACCAAACUGCGCAACUAGAGUACGAUAGAGGGGGGUAGAAUUUCAGGUGUAGCGGUGAAAUGCGUAGAGAUCUGAAGGAAUACCGGUGGCGAAGGCGGCCCCCUGGAUUGAUACUGACACUGAGGUGCGAAAGCGUGGGUAGCAAAUAGGAUUAGAUCCCCUGGUAGUCCACGCCGUAAACGAUGUCUACUAGCCGUUGGAAUCCUUAGAGGUUUUAGUGGCGCAGCUAACGCAAUAAGUAGACCGCCUGGGGAGUACGGCCGCAAGGUUAAAACUCAAAUGAAUUGGCGGGGGCCCGCACAAGCGGUGGAGCAUGUGGUUUAAUUCGAUGCAACGCGAAGAACCUUACCUACCCUUGACAUCCUCGGAAUCCUACAGAGAUGUGGGAGUGCCUUCGGGAACCGAGUGACAGGUGCUGCAUGGCUGUCGUCAGCUCGUGUCGUGAGAUGUUGGGUUAAGUCCCGUAACGAGCGCAACCCUUGUCCCUAAUUGCCAGCGGUUCGGCCGGGAACUUUAGGGAGACUGCCGGUGACAAACCGGAGGAAGGUGGGGACGAUGUCAAGUCAUCAUGGCCCUUAUGGGUAGGGCUACACACGUACUACAAUGGCCGGCACAGAGGGCCGCGAGCCUGCGAAGGUAAGCAAAUCCCUUAAAACCGGUCGUAGUCCGGAUCGGAGUCUGCAACUCGACUCCGUGAAGUCGGAAUCGCUAGUAAUCGCGGAUCAGCAUGCCGCGGUGAAUACGUUCCCGGGCCUUGUACACACCGCCCGUCACACCAUGGGAGUUGGCUGCACCAGAAGUAGGUAGCUUAACCUUCGGGAG
rnacentral:rRNA from 1 species